rnacentral:rRNA from 1 species
AGCAGUCGCCGCGGUAAUACGUAGGGUGCAAGCGUUGUCCGGAAUUAUUGGGCGUAAAGAGCUCGUAGGCGGUUUGUCGCGUCUGCUGUGAAAUCCCGAGGCUCAACCUCGGGCUUGCAGUGGGUACGGGCAGACUAGAGUGCGGUAGGGGAGAUUGGAAUUCCUGGUGUAGCGGUGGAAUGCGCAGAUAUCAGGAGGAACACCGAUGGCGAAGGCAGAUCUCUGGGCCGUAACUGACGCUGAGGAGCGAAAGCGUGGGGAGCGAACAGGAUUAGAUACCCCGGUAGUCCCUGUCUCUUAUAC